rnacentral:rRNA from 1 species
AGAGUUUGAUCAUGGCUCAGAGCGAACGCUGGCGGCGUGCUUAACACAUGCAAGUCGAACGCGCAGCAAUCUGUAGCAAUACAGGUUGUGGGCGCGUGGCGAACGGGUGCGUAACACGUGGAUAACCUUCCUUCAGGUGGGGAAUAACCCAGUGAAAAUUGGGCUAAUACCGCAUAACAUGACGAUGGCACAUGCUGUUGUCUUCAAAGCCGCAAGGCGCCAGAAGAGGGAUCCGCGGCCGAUUAGCUUGUUGGCGAGGUAAUGGCUCACCAAGGCAAUGAUCGGUAGCCGGACUGAGAGGUUGGCCGGCCACACUGGAACUGAGACACGGUCCAGACUCCUACGGGAGGCAGCAGUGGGGAAUCUUGCACAAUGGACGAAAGUCUGAUGCAGCAACGCCGCGUGGGGGAUGAAGCUUCUCGGAGUGUAAACCCCUUUCGACCCGGAAGAAUGUCCGCAAGGACUUGACGGUACGGGUAUAAGAAGCCCCGGCUAACUACGUGCCAGCAGCCGCGGUAAUACGUAGGGGGCCAGCGUUGCUCGGAAUUACUGGGCGUAAAGGGUCCGUAGGCGGUGUAGCAAGUCGAUAGUGAAAUUUCUGGGCUUAACCCAGAGGCUGCUAACGAAACUGCUAUGCUAGAGUGUGAGAGAGGCGAGUGGAAUUACGGGUGUAGCGGUGAAAUGCGUAGAUAUCCGUAGGAACAUCCGAGGCGAAGGCGGCUCGCUGGAUCACAACUGACGCUGAGGGACGAAAGCUAGGGGAGCAAACAGGAUUAGAUACCCUGGCAGUCCUAGCCCUAAACCAUCAGGACUUGGGGUUUGCCCUGUACGGGGCAAGUCCCGUAGCUAACGCGUUAAGUCCUGCGCCUGGGGAGUACGGUCGCAAGGCUGAAACUCAAAGGAAUUGACGGGGGCCCGCACAAGCGGUGGAACAUGUGGUUCAUUCGACGCACGCGAGACCUUACCUGGCUUGAACCGCACAGGACAUUCCUAGAAUAGGA